rnacentral:rRNA from 1 species
UACGUAGGGGGCAAGCGCUGUCCGGAUUUAUUGGGCGUAAAGAGCGUGUAGGCGGCCAGAUAGGUCCGUUGUGAAAACUCGAGGCUCAACCUCGAGACGCCGAUGGAAACCAUUUGGCUAGAGUCCGGAAGAGGAGAGUGGAAUUCCUGGUGUAGCGGUGAAAUGCGCAGAUAUCGGGAGGAACACCAAUGGCGAAGGCAGCUCGCUGGGACGGUACUGACGCUGAGACGCGAAAGCGUGGGGAGCAAACAGG